rnacentral:rRNA from 1 species
UGGGGAAUAUUGCACAAUGGGGGAAACCCUUAUGCAGCGACGCCGCGUGAGCGAAGAAGGUUUUCGAAUCGUAAAGCUCUGUCCUAUGAGAAGAUAAUGACGUUAUCAUAGGAGGAAGCCCCGGCUAAAUACGUGCCAGCAGCCGCGGUAAUACGUAUGGGGCGAGCGUUGUCCGGAAUUAUUGGGCGUAAAGGGUACGUAGGCGGUCUAUUAAGUCAGGUGUGAAAGCGUGAGGCUUAACCUCAUUAAGCACUUGAAACUGAUAGACUUGAGUGAAGGAGAGGAAAGUGGAAUUCCUAGUGUAGCGGUGAAAUGCGUAGAUAUUAGGAGGAAUACCGGUGGCGAAGGCGACGUUCUGGACUUUUACUGACGCUCAGGUACGAAAGCGUGGGGAGCAAACAGG